AUGGACUUCUUAUACCACUGUCCUUCUUUCCCCAUGGGGCCUGGUAUGCAGUGGCUGGAGAGAGCAGCCUCCUUUGUAGCAUAUGUGGACUGUUGCUUGCAUGUGUUGCAUUGGACCUUGGAGACAGCC
ensembl:snoRNA SNORA70 Small nucleolar RNA SNORA70